rnacentral:lncRNA from 1 species
ACGUGGACGAACGGCGCCUCAGCCGCACGCACGACCUAUUUUUUUACUCAGCUCAAACUGUGGCACAUACCACGUACAUCCAACCAACUCAGAUCGGCCUCUAUUUAUAGGCUGACACACACGCGACCUCCCCUAUUCUGAAACAUGCUAACUAAUCAUAGAGUUUAUCCGGCGAGCUAACAAGAUAUCCCUCUAACUAACUGCAUGUAUGACUAUCCUAUCACGACAUCAAGCUACCUAACCAACUAACCACCUGGACUAAGCACUACGCGUUGGACUAACCAACUCGCCAUGGGCACGAGUGCACGCGCACGCACGUACACCAUCGUGACACACAUGCACACACGUACUAUGGGUGCAUACCCAUCACGGUUUAUUUCUAACAUUCUCCCCCAAAACUGUGACUCGUCGUCGCCGGAGUUAUUGCCGCUCCCAUCAUUGUCGUCGUCAUGGCCGCCGCUGCGGCCUCCGUCACGCUUGACGCAACCUCCAUGCUCUUCCUCGGCGACACACGUCGAGCUCCUUGUCCGCCGGUGACACACGCCUGACGUUCUGGCGACAUACGCCGUCGCUGCCGUCGCGCUUUGAACACUUGACAUCACCGCGCUGCCGCAAGUCUCAAUGCAUGACUGCGCCAACACGGUCGUCGUUUCUCGGCGGCCACGCUAUCCACGCCGCCGUGCAGCGCCGCCACGCCGCCGCGCCGUGUCGUGCCUUCGCGAACUCCGCGCCACCAUGCAGUACUUCCGGGCCUCCUCGCCGCACGCGGCAUACUCACCGCGGAUCGACAAGGCUCUGAUACCAAUUGUUGGGACAAACCCGGUCCGGUGACGAACGCCGAGUAGGCUCCGGCGGCACGAACGGCAGACGAACCUCUCUCUCUUUCACCCGCUCGAACAGAGGUAGAAGAAGGAGUACAACACAUUGGAUUUUUCAGGCGACGAACACCAUGCCGCACGAACGGCGCCACGCCGACGAACGACGCCUCGGCCGCACGCACCACCUAUUUUUUUUACUCAGCUCAAAUUGUGGCACAUACUACGUACAUCCAACCAACUCAGAUCAGCCUCUAUUUAUAGGCUGACACACACGCCACCUCCCCUAUUUUGAUGCAUGCUAACUAACCAUAGAGUUUAUCCGGCCAGCUAACAACUUAUCCCUCUAACUAACUGCAUGCAUGACUAUCCUAUCACGACAUGAAGCUAGCUAACCAACUAACCACCUGGACUAAGCACUACGCGUUGGACUAACCAACUCGCCAUGGCCACGAGUGCACGCGCAUGCAAGUACACCAUCGUGACACACAUGCACACACGUACUCUAGGUCCAUACCCAUCACGGUUUAUUUCUAACAUUCCCCCCCUAAACCGUGACUCGUUGUCGCCGGAGUUGUUGCCACUCCCAUCGUUGUCGUCGUCAUGGCCGCCGCUGCGGCCACCGUCACGCUUGACGCAACCUCCAUGCUCUUCCUCGGCGACACACGUCGAGCUCCUUGUCCGCCAUUGACACACGCCUGACGUUCUGGCGACAUACGUCGUCGCUGUCGUCACGCUCGAACGCCUGACAUGACCGCGCCGCCGCGCGUCUCAAUGCAUGACUGCGCCAACACGAUCAUCGUUUCCCGGCGGCCACGCCAUCCAUGCCGCCAUGCAGCGCCGCCACGCUGCCGUGCCGUGCCGCGCCUUCGCGGACUCCGCGCCACCAUGCAGGACUUCCGCGGCCUCCUUGCCGCACGCGGCGGACUCAGCGGAUCGACAAGGCUCUGAUACCAAUUGUUGGGACAAACCCAGUCCGGCAACGAACGCCGAGUAGGCUCCGGCGGCACGAACGGCGGACGAACCUCUCUCUCUUUCACCCGCUCGAACAGAGGUAGAAGAAGGAGUACAACACACUGGAUUUUUCAGGCGACGAACGCCAUGCCGCACGAACGGCGCUACGCCGAUGAACGGCGCCACGCCGACGAACGGCGCCUCGGCCGCACGCACGACCUAUUCUUUUUUUACUCAGCUCAAACUGUGGCACAUACCACGUACAUCCAACCAACUCAGAUUGGCCUCUAUUUAUAGGCUGACACACACGCCACCUCUCCUAUUCUGAUGCAUGCUAACUAACCAUAGAGUUUAUCCGUCCAGCUAACAACUUAUCCCUCUAACUAAGUGCAUGCAUGACUAUCCUAUCACGACAUGAAGCUAGCUAACCAACUAACCACCUGGACUAAGCACUACGCGUUGGACUAACCAACUCGCCAUGGCCACGAGUGCACGCCCACGCACGUACACCAUCGUGACACACAUGCACACACG